rnacentral:snRNA from 1 species
GUCCCUCCCAGGACAUCCGAUAAAAUUGGAACGAUACAGAGAAGAUUAACAUGGCCCCUGCACAAGGAUGACAUGCAUAAAUCGAGAAAUGAUCCAAAUUUUU